rnacentral:misc_RNA from 1 species
GAUGAAGAACGUAGCAAAAUGCGAUACUUGGUGUGAAUUGCAGAAUCCCGUGAACCAUCGAGUUUUUGAACGCAAGUUGCGCCCGAAGCCUUUUGGCCGAGGGCACGUAUGCCUGGGCGUCACGCAUCGCGUCGCCCCCCACAAUUCUCCGUAAAAGGAACAUGUGUUUUGGGGGCGGAUAUUGGUCUCCCGUGCUCAUGGCGUGGUUGGCCGAAAUAGGAGUCCUUUCGAUGGACGCACGAACUAGUGGUGGUCGUAAAAACCCUCGUCUUUUGUUUCGUGCUGUUGCUCGCAAGGUAAACUCUUUAAAAACCCCAAUGUGUCGUCUCUUGACGACGCUUCGACCGCGACCCCAGGUCAGGCGGGACUACCCGCUGAGUUUAAGCAUAUCAAUAAGCGGAGGA